GUCCUACAUAUUAAUAGGCAGCAUUUUAUUUUUCAGGUGUCAACCACAGAUACUCUCUAAGCCUAAUGUACAGGACAUCAGAUGAGUUGCUUUGUGGAGAGUUUUUUGGGGAAUGUGAAAAGCCCUACCAUAUGGAGAGGAGCUAACAGAUGUGUCUUGGUAGUGCAAGGGAUCUCCACUGCACAUAAAGGUGUCAGGAGUCCAUCAGGAAUAUCAUAUGCUCGUGUUCAAGGUGAAGAAAAAUGAAGAGAAAGACUUGAUGAAGGGAUACAGCUAUUUUGGGCAGAUGGAAUCAAAUCCAUACCAACACUGAGAUUUAGUUUUAUAGAUGGCGUACUUGGUAUAUUCUUUGUCAGAGCUGGUAAUCACAGAAAUCCUCCUCAACAGAAAGGAUUGAAGAGACCCUGGGCAUGUUGAUCCAGAUUUUUAAAUCCUAUUCAAAUUGUUUGGUUGCCAAGUUCACUUACUCUUGGUAAAACACUACUCCCUGUAUCUGUGGAGAGCCUGG
rnacentral:lncRNA from 1 species